AGUCUCGAAGUCGUGUCCAACUCUUUUGAGACUCCAUGAAUGGUAGCCCACCAGGCUCCUCUGUCCAUGGGACUCUCCAGUCAAGAAUACUGGAGUGGGUUGCCAUGCCCUUCUCCAAGGGCUCUUCCUAACCCAGAGAUCAAACCCGUGUCUCUUACAUCUUCUGCAUUGGCAGAUGGGUUCUUUACCACUAGCAUCACCUGGGAAGCCUUAAGCUGUGCAACUGGGCAUCAAAACCCUUUGUGGAGAAAUGUCUAUGUCGGUUCUUCUGCCCAUUUUUUGUUUUUGUUUUGUUUUUGUUUUUUAUCGAGUUGCAUGAGUUGUUUAUAUGUUUUGGAAAUUAAUCCUUCGUCAGUUGCUUCAGUUACAAAUAUUUUUUUCCAUUCUGAGGGUUGUCUUCUCAUCUUAUUUAUUGUUUCCUUUGCUGUACAAAAGCUUUUAAGUUAAUUAGGUCCCAUUUAUUUUUGACAUAUAUAUACUACUAUGUAUAAUAUUUAACUUCCAUGCAGAGUACAUUUAACUUCUGUGAGAAAUGCUGGGCUGGAAGAAGCACAAGCUGGAAUCAGGAUUGCCGGGAGAAAUAUCAAUAACCUCAGAUAUGCAGAUGAUACCACCCUUAUGGCAGAAAGUGAAGAGGAACUAAAAAGCCUCUUGAUGAAAGUGAAAGUGGAGAGUGAAAAAGUGGGCUUAAAGCUCAACAUUCAGAAAAUGAAGAUCAUGGCAUUUGGUCCCAUCACUUCAUAGCAAAUAGAUGGGGAAACAGUGGAAACAGUGUCAGACUUUAUUUUUUGGGGCUCCAAAAUCACUGCAGAUGGUGACUGCAGCCAUGAAAUUAAAAGACGCUUACUCCUUGGAAGGAAAGUUAUGACCAACCUAGAUAGCAUAUUGAAAAGCAGAGACGUUACUUUGCCAACAAAGGUCCAUCUAGUCAAGGCUGUGGUUUUUCCAGUAGUCAUGUAUGGAUGUGAAAGUUGGACUGUGAAGAAGGCUGAGCGCCAAAGAAUUGAUGCUUUUGAACUGUGGUGUUGGAGAAGACUCUUGAGAGUCCCUUGGACUGCAAGGAGAUCCAACCAGUCCAUUCUGAA
ensembl:lncRNA